AUGGAGAAAAGUGAGCUCAGAAUCAAAGAUCAUCAGACAGCAAGAAAACGAUCCACCAUAGGCAAACAGACCACGGCCCAGGGGCCAGGCGUGCUGGGAGUGAGCUCCCCAAGGAGCAGCGUGGUGACAGAGGGCUCUCCUGAGUGCUUCCAUGGCCUCAUUAGCACCUCACUCACUGCUGGGGACCAGAGCACGAAGAUGAAAAGCAUCUUUACAGAGGUAAUUGUACCUGUGGGGAAAAGAUAGUUUUGGUUUGAAUUUAUUUUUUCCUUCCCAAGACAUAAAAGCAUUUUACUUUUCUUAAUCUUUCCAAAUGUAUGAUAUCAAGUCUACCUUCUCCAAUGGGUAGUAGAUCUCUUAAUGGCAUCUUCAGCAGAUCCAUAAUUUUCCAGUUGUUUUCAGAUACUAAGUCUCAGUGCCAUUUAAAAUAUCAAUUCCAAACUUGACUCUAUUCUCACUUCCUCCCCCUUCUCACCCUCUGCACUGUAAG
rnacentral:lncRNA from 1 species